rnacentral:rRNA from 1 species
GACGAACGCUGGCGGCGUGCUUAACACAUGCAAGUCGAACGAGACGAUUGAAAGCUUGCUUUCGAAAGUCGAGUGGCAAACGGGUGAGUAACGCGUAGACAACCUGCCUUUGAGAUGGGGACAACAGUUCGAAAGGACUGCUAAUACCGAAUGUUGUAUAUUUUCCACAUGGAAGAUAUAUUAAAGAUGGCCUCUAUCUAUAAGCUAUCGCUCAAAGAUGGGUCUGCGUCUGAUUAGCUAGUUGGUGGGGUAACGGCCUACCAAGGCGACGAUCAGUAGCCGGUCUGGGAGGAUGAACGGCCACAUUGGGACUGAGAACCGGCCCAGACUCCUACGGGAGGCAGCAGUGGGGAAUCUUCCACAAUGGACGAAAGUCUGAUGGAGCAACGCCGCGUGAGUGAAGAAGGGUUUCGGCUCGUAAAGCUCUGUUGUCGGGGACGAAUGGUUAGUAUGUAAAUAAUGUAUUGACAUGACGGUACCUUUGGAGGAAGCCACGGCUAACUACGUGCCAGCCGCCGCGGUAA